CAGAGGCGUGAGGGUUGUCGCUGACCUUUCUAAAAGGUCGUGCACGCCCGAGCGCUCUCAAUCCAUUUCACCCUUUGUGCAUCACCGCGCGGGGUCGCUCCCUCUUGGCUCGCUUCGAGAGGGGGAGGCUCGCGUUUUUCACACAUAAACACCCUUAUAGUUUAGAAUGUCAUUCAUUUGCGAUCACACGCAAUCAAUACAACUUUCAACAACGGAUCUCUUGGCUCUCGCAUCGAUGAAGAACGCAGCGAAAUGCGAUACGUAAUGUGAAUUGCAGAAUUCAGUGAAUCAUCGAAUCUUUGAACGCAUCUUGCGCCCCUUGGUAUUCCGAGGGGCACACCCGUUUGAGUGUCGUGAAAUUCUCAAACCUUCUUGGUUUCUUGAUCAAGAUGGCUUUGGACUUUGGAGGCAUUUUGCUGGCUUUGCGAAAAGCCAGCUCCUCUCAAAUACAUUAGUGGGGUCCCCUUUGCCGAUCCCCAGGCGUGAUAAGAUGUUUCUACGUCUUGGGAUUUGCUCUGUUCCUUGGGAACCCGCUUCUAACCGUCUCAUGGGAGACACCGUUCGAGUUUGCUCGACGCACGAACCUUGACCUCAAAUCGGGUGAGACUACCCGCUGAACUUAAGCAUAUCAU
rnacentral:rRNA from 1 species